rnacentral:rRNA from 1 species
UCCUACGGGAGGCAGCAGUGGGGAAUAUUGCACAAUGGACGAAAGUCUGAUGCAGCAACGCCGCGUGGAGGAUGACACAUUUCGGUGCGUAAACUCCUUUUAUAUGGGAAGAUAAUGACGGUACCAUAUGAAUAAGCACCGGCUAACUCCGUGCCAGCAGCCGCGGUAAU